UGGGGAAUCUUCCGCAAUGGACGAAAGUCUGACGGAGCAACGCCGCGUGUAUGAUGAAGGUCUUCGGAUUGUAAAGUACUGUCAUUGGGGAAGAACGGUUUUCUUGAAAAGGUUGAGAAGACAUGACGGUACCCAAGGAGGAAGCCCCGGCUAACUACGUGCCAGCAGCCGCGGUAAUACGUAGGGGGCAAGCGUUGUCCGGAAAUUAUUGGGCGUAAAGGGCGCGUAGGCGGGCUUUUAAGUCCGGUGUGAAAGAUCAGGGCUCAACCCUGGAGAGUGCAUCGGAAACUGGAGGCCUUGAGGACAGGAGAGGAAAGUGGAAUUCCACGUGUAGCGGUGAAAUGCGUAGAUAUGUGGAGGAACACCAGUGGCGAAGGCGACUUUCUGGACUGUAACUGACGCUGAGGCGCGAAAAGCGU
rnacentral:rRNA from 1 species